UGUAUAAUGGGUCAGCGACUUAUAUUCUGUAGCAAGGUUAACCGAAUAGGGGAGCCGAAGGGAAACCGAGUCUUAACUGGGCGUUAAGUUGCAGGGUAUAGACCCGAAACCCGGUGAUCUAGCCAUGGGCAGGUUGAAGGUUGGGUAACACUAACUGGAGGACCGAACCGACUAAUGUUGAAAAAUUAGCGGAUGACUUGUGGCUGGGGGUGAAAGGCCAAUCAAACCGGGAGAUAGCUGGUUCUCCCCGAAAGCUAUUUAGGUAGCGCCUCGUGAAUUCAUCUCCGGGGGUAGAGCACUGUUUCGGCAAGGGGGUCAUCCCGACUUACCAACCCGAUGCAAACUGCGAAUACCGGAGAAUGUUAUCACGGGAGACACACGGCGGGUGCUAACGUCCGUCGUGAAGAGGGAAACAACCCAGACCGUCAGCUAAGGUCCCAAAGUCAUGGUUAAGUGGGAAACGAUGUGGGAAGGCCCAGACAGCCAGGAUGUUGGCUUAGAAGCAGCCAUCAUUUAAAGAAAGCGUAAUAGCUCACUGGUCGAGUCGGCCUGCGCGGAAGAUGUAACGGGGCUAAACCAUGCACCGAAGCUGCGGCAGCGACACUAUGUGUUGUUGGGUAGGGGAGCGUUCUGUAAGCCUGUGAAGGUGGCCUGUGAGGGUUGCUGGAGGUAUCAGAAGUGCGAAUGCUGACAUAAGUAACGAUAAAGCGGGUGAAAAGCCCGCUCGCCGGAAGACCAAGGGUUCCUGUCCAACGUUAAUCGGGGCAGGGUGAGUCGACCCCUAAGGCGAGGCCGAAAGGCGUAGUCGAUGGGAAACAGGUUAAUAUUCCUGUACUUGGUGUUACUGCGAAGGGGGGACGGAGAAGGCUAUGUUGGCCGGGCGACGGUUGUCCCGGUUUAAGCGUGUAGGCUGGUUUUCCAGGCAAAUCCGGAAAACCAAGGCUGAGGCGUGAUGACGAGGCACUACGGUGCUGAAGCGACAAAUGCCCUGCUUCCAGGAAAAGCCUCUAAGCAUCAGGUAACAUCAAAUCGUACCCCAAACCGACACAGGUGGUCAGGUAGAGAAUACCAAGGCGCUUGAGAGAACUCGGGUGAAGGAACUAGGCAAAAUGGUGCCGUAACUUCGGGAGAAGGCACGCUGAUAUGUAGGUGAAGCGACUUGCUCGUGGAGCUGAAAUCAGUCGAAGAUACCAGCUGGCUGCAACUGUUUAUUAAAAACACAGCACUGUGCAAACACGAAAGUGGACGUAUACGGUGUGACGCCUGCCCGGUGCCGGAAGGUUAAUUGAUGGGGUUAGCGGCAACGCGAAGCUCUUGAUCGAAGCCCCGGUAAACGGCGGCCGUAACUAUAACGGUCCUAAGGUAGCGAAAUUCCUUGUCGGGUAAGUUCCGACCUGCACGAAUGGCGUAAUGAUGGCCAGGCUGUCUCCACCCGAGACUCAGUGAAAUUGAACUCGCUGUGAAGAUGCAGUGUACCCGCGGCAAGACGGAAAGACCCCGUGAACCUUUACUAUAGCUUGACACUGAACAUUGAGCCUUGAUGUGUAGGAUAGGUGGGAGGCUUUGAAGUGUGGACGCCAGUCUGCAUGGAGCCGACCUUGAAAUACCACCCUUUAAUGUUUGAUGUUCUAACGUUGGCCCGUAAUCCGGGUUGCGGACAGUGUCUGGUGGGUAGUUUGACUGGGGCGGUCUCCUCCUAAAGAGUAACGGAGGAGCACGAAGGUUGGCUAAUCCUGGUCGGACAUCAGGAGGUUAGUGCAAUGGCAUAAGCCAGCUUGACUGCGAGCGUGACGGCGCGAGCAGGUGCGAAAGCAGGUCAUAGUGAUCCGGUGGUUCUGAAUGGAAGGGCCAUCGCUCAACGGAUAAAAGGUACUCCGGGGAUAACAGGCUGAUACCGCCCAAGAGUUCAUAUCGACGGCGGUGUUUGGCACCUCGAUGUCGGCUCAUCACAUCCUGGGGCUGAAGUAGGUCCCAAGGGUAUGGCUGUUCGCCAUUUAAAGUGGUACGCGAGCUGGGUUUAGAACGUCGUGAGACAGUUCGGUCCCUAUCUGCCGUGGGCGCUGGAGAACUGAGGGGGGCUGCUCCUAGUACGAGAGGACCGGAGUGGACGCAUCACUGGUGUUCGGGUUGUCAUGCCAAUGGCACUGCCCGGUAGCUAAAUGCGGAAGAGAUAAGUGCUGAAAGCAUCUAAGCACGAAACUUGCCCCGAGAUGAGUUCUCCCUGAGACUUAGAGUCUCCUGAAGGAACGUUGAAGACGACGACGUUGAUAGGCCGGGUGUGUAAGCGCAGCGAUGCGUUGAGCUAACCGGUACUAAUGAACCGUGAGGCUUAACCUUACAACGCCGAAG
rnacentral:rRNA from 1 species